AUCCCCUUUUAGCUCAGUGGUCGAGCGCUGGCUUUGGAAGCCACAGGUCGGUGGCUCGAACCCACCAGGGCACA
rnacentral:tRNA from 1 species